CCUACAUGAAGCUGGAAUUGCUAGUAAUCACAGGUCAGCAUACUGUGGUGAAUACGUUCCCGGGCCUUGUACACACCGCCCGUCACACCAUGAGAGUUAGGAAUACCCGAAGCCUGUGAGCUAACUUUAAUAGAGGCAGCAGUCGAAGGUAGAACUAAUGAUUGGGGUGAAGUCGUAACAAGGUACC
rnacentral:rRNA from 1 species